UUUUUUUUCCCUGCAUAUAUUUAUGGAAAAGAGAGGUGAUGUGGGACACACAUAGACACGUUUGAACACAAUUCACUCUUGGGCUUACACUGCACUGCUGACUUUGGCAUGCACUGUGAGGGAAGGGGGAACAAGAGAAGAAAGGGCCUUAAGGCUGCAGGGGAGGGGGCAUUGAUGUUUUUAUUUUUCAGUUAUUAUUUUGUAAAUCUUUCUCAUGAGCUAAUUUCCUUGCCUGUGCUUUAAGGUAAAUGGCCCAAGUAAUUCUUUGUGUUUUUAAGUGAACCCUUUGGUCUCCCUUCUUACCUGUGCCUGAACUUCAUUGUUUCUCUUUCACCUUUUACUAGGCAGAACAAACAGAAAUUCUCAGUGAACUUUCUGUUUCCACAGAAACACUGGAAACUUGUCAGUGUACUUCGGGAUGUUUUUUAAUGUGGCCAAACAUUCCCCUCUCUCUAGUUAAUUAACGAUUAAUGUAGCCACCAAGGAAAGCUGUGCCAGGAAUGAGGGACAUAUUGGUACGAAGUCCAAUUGGCAGUGACCUGAUUUUUUCCUCCAGUUAUUUAUACUGAGUCACAAAGAAUCAGACUGAGACACCUCUUGCUGACUUCUGCUCUUCCCUCAGCUUAGUAAACUCCUGAUAUCACAAUGGGGGCCAGAAGAAGAGCCUUCAUAGAAUGGAAAUUUCAAUAAAGAAACUGGAAGUCAAAGAGAAAGUGAAUUGAAGACUGAGUAUAAAAGUCUCUUAAUUUGCAAAUUGUGAAAUUCAGCAAUGAUACACUGUGGAAAAAAACAUAUAUGUGCUGUUGUUGCAUGUAUUCUUAUUUUUGCAAGCAUUUUAAUCUGCUACUGGAAAGAUCUUCAGCUACCGAAUACAAUAACUAGAAAAAUCUUCCCCCAGGCAACAACUGCCAGUCCAAC